rnacentral:rRNA from 1 species
AUGGUGGAGUCGACGACGAGCAUCGGCGGGUACAUGGCGUCGGGGUACCGGAGGGUGGCUGGCGUGCAGCUCUACAUCAACCACCUCAAGCCCGCCCACCUCGGCGACCGCAUCGAGGCCAAGGCGAACCCCAUCCGGUACCUCGACCCCUACGCGUACUUGGACAAGGACCAGCUGCUGGACGCGGUGCAUUGGAUCCGGCAGGCGGUGGGGCUUGCCUACGGCCUGCUCUGGGGCGCCGUCCCCCUCGUCGACGCCUUCUGGAUCGCCCUGUCAGUCCCUCCCUCCCUCCAUCCUCAAAUCCCCAACCUUCUUCUUUCCCUUCAGACAUAG